GUUGCUUCCGGGUUGCCUAAGGGCGGAACCCGCCCUGCCCUCAGACGCACUUUGGACGAAGGACGGAAAAGCAGUGGCCUGUGACAUCUUCUUGUUUUACUCGCUUGUGUACAGGAUCGGAGAGGAGACCCAGGGAGGCGAGCACCUGGCAGAGGAACCGGAGCACAUCCAUCUGCACUGAAGGAGACGCCCUAAGGAUUGAGCUUAUCGCAAGUGACAUGGAUGGAAUGAGACUGUGGCUGGAGAUGAGCAAUAUCAAGGAUCUGAUCAACAGUGAAAAGAGCCAGAGUGUGAAAUAGUCAUCUACCAAGAGAGCUUGCAAAUUGUUUAACCAAAGAAUAGGCAUCUGCUCUGCUGUUUCUAAACAUGCUUAAUGAUGGAAUGUGGCAUCCAAAAAGAAAAGUUUUUUUGUCAUGUUUAUGUCAUGUUUACAUUUUUGUCAUGUUUAUGUUUAAACAUUAAUAUGUAGACAUAUAUUGUAGAAUAUUAAUGUUCACAUGAAU